AGUCGAACGCGACUUAGGCUUCGGUUUAAGUUGAGUGGCGAACGGGUGAGUAACACGUGGGUGACCUACCUUCGAGUGGGGGAUAACGUCCCGAAAGGGACGCUAAUACCGCAUAACAUCCUGCCUUUGAACAGGUGGUGAUCAAAGCCGGGGAUCGCAAGACCUGGCGCUUGAUGAGGGGCCCGCGUCUGAUUAGCUAGUUGGUGGGGUAACGGCUCACCAAGGCGACGAUCAGUAUCCGGCCUGAGAGGGCGGACGGACACACUGGGACUGAGACACGGCCCAGACUCCUACGGGAGGCAGCAGUGGGGAAUUGUUCGCAAUGGGCGCAAGCCUGACGACGCAACGCCGCGUGGAGGAUGAAGGUCUUCGGAUUGUAAACUCCUGUUGCUCGGGACGAACAGCUCCGACCUAAUACGUCGGAGUCUGACGGUACCGAGUGAGGAAGCCCCGGCUAACUCUGUGCCAGCAGCCGCGGUAAUACAGAGGGGGCAAGCGUUGUUCGGAAUUACUGGGCGUAAAGGGCGCGUAGGCGGCCUGCUAAGUCGAACGUGAAAUCCCUGGGCUCAACCCAGGAACUGCGUCCGAUACUGGUUGGCUUGAAUCCGGGAGAGGGAUGUGGAAUUCCAGGUGUAGCGGUGAAAUGCGUAGAUAUCUGGAGGAACACCGGUGGCGAAGGCGACAUCCUGGACCGGUAUUGACGCUGAGGCGCGAAAGCCAGGGGAGCAAACGGGAUUAGAUACCCCGGUAGUCCUGGCCCUAAACGAUGAAUGCUUGGUGUGGCGGGUAUCGAUCCCUGCCGUGCCGAAGCUACGCAUUAAGC
rnacentral:rRNA from 1 species